UGUAGUCCAUAGUCCUGUUUGUUCUCUGCAUACAUAGUAGGCCUACUCUAUUUGAAGUAUCAACCACUUCCAUGAAAAUAUUUUUCCUAAAGAUAAGCUGGUUAUCUAGUAUUCCCUGACCCUGUGAGCGGCAGGAUGGAACAUGAGAAAGCUUUGAGCGCUGUUGAUUCAGUCUAGUACUCUGCGAGUACCACAGGGUCUGAAGUGGGAAUUAUCCAUGCACCAUUUCCCCCUUCUUCUCCUAUGUGCAGGAUUCUGCAGCUCCUGCUUGCUUGUAGGCCUCUGCAAGGCAUCUGAAUACCAGAUCCCUGAUAUAUAGAUUGUGAUUGCACGUUGGCCUACGUUCUACCAGUGCCACGAGUAAGGUGGUUGUUCUUCUUCCUGGUGUGUAGAUCUACAUGCAUAAGUGUACGCAGAGACACACGCAUGACACGUUUUCAGUAUUUGGUAUGAAGGUUAAACGUGUUAUAGCGGGAUCUUGAGCAUGUUGCAACAGCGUCGUAAAUAAAAGUACAAUUUGAAUUGGUUAAUAUGCAUGAACGCACUCAGUGUUGCAUAACUAGGAGACGGAGGGUAUAAGUUAUCUGAAUUCAUAUUUUUAAGAACAUUGGCAUUGUUUGGUACUAGACCGCUCGAUCCGCUCCGCUCCCCCCACCCGAUUCUACUGAAUAAUGUAAAAGCAGCCCACCCCUCCACUUUAUCGUCCAAUUGGAGACGAAAAUUAUAUCAAGCUAUCUUUUUUGAGCCAAUCACAGCCCUGCCGUUGCUCCAUGUAAACCGGGUGCCCUCCCCUUUGCCUCUCAAACAGACGUAAGCUGUGGAUCUCAGACGGAGAGGUGGACACUGACUGGAGUUCGCAUGGAAGAGAAGUGAUCAGAGUGAAACGCCACAGUGGCAACUUUGAACAAUUCCACAGAAGUAGGCUCAACCUCGAGAGGACGUUUUCGACUUCUGUUUUGCAAACAGGGCCUUGCAACGCAAUGUUUUUAAGCUGCCGUGGACCGAAGCUCAAUCUCCCCUCGUGCCCGGAGUGUCUCCAACGGCUGACGUCCAAAACACCACUUUUAAAAAAUAUAUAUAUUUGAUCAUUAAGUUUUCAAUCUGAGUGUUUCCCAUUUUGUAAGUCGUUCCGGGCAGGUCCAGCUAUUUUGUGUCUAGUCACACUCCAGUCACACUGCAGAGUGCAGACUAUGAAAAUAGGCUUUUGUUGCUGUUGUGUCUUAGCAAGGCUCCUCCUCCCUUGGUGGUUGUGUCAGGCUCAUCCUCCCUUCCUGCCCUCCGGACACUGAACUCAUUCUGUCACCGUCUCCUCUGCAUCACCAUCCCCCCCAUCCCCGUCCCCCCUCUGGUUGUUCCUCUGCUCUGUGACCUUACCCCUCAGUGGUGUGAGACCUGUCUCUCCCUCUUCCACCCCCUCCAUCAGCACACACCCCUCUCAGCCUCAUCCUCUUCUCCGGACGUGUCAGCUCUGCUUACGAGACACCCUUCCUCUCUUCCCCCCCCCCCCCCCCCCCCCUCUCUCCAGACUUCCGACUCUGUUGCUUGCCACGGUGAACAUUCAACGCUGUCGGUGAGUUUUGGUAUGGAUCACAUAGAAACCAUCGACCGUUGACUGUGCCCCGUGGCACGGCCCGUCUCGACGCCAUCGCCGACCCGCCGCUUCCGUGCGAGAACGGAGAAAGGGGGGGAGGGAGGGAGGGAGGGAGGGAGGAGAAGAGAGGGGGAGGGGGAGCAUUCCAACGUUUGUCAGCGACACACCACGACGAGUCACGCGCAGAGCGAGACAAGAACGAGAUGUAACGUAGAUGAUGUACAAUCACGCACAUUGCACAUCAUCACCACUGAUCUCACACUGUUUCCAGUGUCUCGUCCCGUCACCCCCCCCCCCCUGCUAACCGAAAGGAGCAAGGGUCACAAUCAACAUUCAUUGCUGUCGCUGGGUUGGACUGUGUGGAAAAGCUCACUGAACAAUGAGUGCAACUGUGGCCCAGAUCUGCCUUACUCUCGUGUCUCUGCCAAUAAAACGGAAAACAACCGGAUGUGAAACGCUGUGAUUCCUUUAUUUAUACAACUAGCUUGUUUUUCAGUUCUAUUUCUCUCCACUCUCAUUUUACCCCUGUCUGUCUGUCUCUUCUCUCUCCCUCUCGCUCCCUUCCCCUCACGCUUCCCCCUGCCCGGCCCUCUAAAGGCUACAGGGGAAGAAGGGAGACUGAGAUGGAGAAAGGAAGAGGGAGAGAGCGAGACGCAAAUAGACUUCUAGCUGUUUGCUUGUCCUCUCCCUCCUCUCCUCUAAUUGGGGGUUGUGUGUGCAGCAGGAGGGGAGGAAGCAGAGUGAAUGUGUAAUCAUUUGGAGUCUCCUGCUUUAGAUGUUUCAUUCUUCUCUUUUUUUGUUUGUCUAAUUAUACAGUGCAUUCAGUCAAAGCCCUGUGUGUGUGUGUGUGUGUGUGUGUGUGUGUGUGUGUGUGUGUGUGUGUGUGUGUGUGUGUGUGUGUGUGUGUGUGUGUGUGUGUGUGUGUGUGUGUGUGUGUGUGUGUGUGUGU